GAACACGCCCGAUCUCGUCUGAUCUCGGAAAGUUGAGC
ensembl:rRNA 5S_rRNA 5S ribosomal RNA